GUAUUAUCCCCCCACGCUCUCUCCUCCCCCUUCACGUGCAAUGUCUCCGAGUGUGCAAUGCCUGCCUGCUCGGGAGCGCAGCGUCCUUCACAGCGGAUUGGUUCCUCUUUCGGAGCGGAGCUUACAAUCCAUAGUGCUUAAUAGACGGAUGAAAGACAGGAUCCCUGCCCUAAAGGGUAUAAAAAUCUAAACUGAGAUGCAAUUUUGGAUACAAGGACUGGAGGAGGGGAAAACAGAAGAUAAAGGUUGUGCCAAAACCUCUUGAAGAUGAAUAGCUUUGUGUGCUAAGUAUGAAUGAUCAGAAGCAGCUGCUUUGAUCGUAUAGGCUUUCUUUCCCUACAACAUGGAUGAAGAGGGAUGAAUAAUGCUGCUGAUUUUUGGUUCCUUUGAGGAUGCCUGCUAAUUCAAUGCACAUUCUUAACUCUGAGAGACAGUGCUCAGUGAAUGAGACAGCUGUUCAAUAUAUUUAUCCUCACUGCUAAGUUUGUGACCUUAUGCUUUGUACACUGUGCAGUACAUAAACCCUAGAUGAAAUGAGAAGACUCCUGUGCAUAUGUGCUUCGUUUAUUACACACAGUUCAACUUCUAGAAUGAAUAAGGCAUGAGUGCUACAGCUUCAUUCCCUCAACUACUUUGUCUCAUUCCACAAGAACCUUUGUAUAUUAUAUGAAAGGAAGCAGAGUUCCUUUGCAGCCCCUUCAUUCCACACACAUCAGAUCAUAUUUCACAUGCACCUACAAAUUAAAAAUGAAAUUCCAUUCCACUUGCUUAGGAAUGCAGUGCAACUGCAAUAGAAUGGUGACAGCUUAAAAGGGAAUUUUUACUCCUCUUACAUAGGUAGCAUUUGCAUUGCCAAUGGAACACUAGCAAAUCAUUAGUGUGUUACGUGAAAAAAAGCCAGGUAUAUGCACAAUCGUCAGUUCGGAACCUUAUAUAACUUGUUCAGAGCCAUUUUUCACAGGACCAUCAAAAAGCACAUCUGUGACCUAGGAACUAUGUCCCUGCCAAACUUCAAAUUUCUACCACCUCGUGUGGAUGCACAAAAUUUCCACUGCCACCCCUGAACUCUCUCUCACACACAGCCUCUCCCACCUCGUCCUACCCUGUCAUAUACCUUGUGUUUUAUUGAAGACAAUCUGAGUGGCAAAAUCUAUCACUUCUCAAAUAUUUGUUCAGCCCUUUAGGUUUAGAAUAGUUCUGACUUUUCCAUUUUGAAAUGUUUCUCUGUUACUACUAAGAAAAUCAGAUAUAACACCAGGAGACCCUUUUCUACUGAAGCUUGUUCUUCAAAGAGGUGGGUAUUGUUUUCAAAGCCUCUUAUUUGUGUGUCCUCCGAUACAGUAAGAACCUCAGUGUUGGCUUUGUGAUUACACAUCUGAUAAUUUCCAACAUACAUUUUUGACGUUGUCUUUUCCCAUACUUUUGCCAAAACCUCUAGCUUGUUUCUUGUUUUGUCCAGUCAUCACCGCCUUUUCCAAAAGUCUCCUCAGAAAGUUUAUCUCCCUCAAAAAUAACAGAAAAUAGCAGCUGAUUGGCAUGGCUAUUCAUCUUCUGUGGUCUGAAUCAUAACUACCAUUUGAUAUAUUAGCUUUGUAGAAAUUAACUAGUGCUACUGGGGAAAAAGGAAGUCUGGUAGUAGGAAUUAGUGAACAUGCCAUUACGAAUUCUCUCUCUCUCUUUUUCUUAUACAGAAGAAAGCAUUUUCUGAGUAUCAGAAGGAUCAUUGGCUCUUGUCUUUGAAGAACUGGAUUUGAAAUAUUAAAUACUCUGGAAGGGCUUCUCUGUUUAUCUUUUUAUACUAUAUUCUUCAUAGUAUUAUUGGAGCAGCCUUGCUUGUUAAUAUCAUAUGAACCUUCAGAUUUCUUCAGUAAGGCACUGAGUUCCCAUGCAUUCUGUUUUGGUGCCUCUCUGUCAUGUAAUAAAGAGUGAAAUGAAGAAUGGAAUUAUGACAUACUCUCAUCGGUACUUGACAAACAUAGCCAUCUGGUACGUACAUAUUUCACCACUUUGCCUAUUUUUGUAUCACAGACUACCAUGUAUUACUUGGGAAUCUUCUUUU